AAUAGACUACCCCGAGUAGUCCUAGCCUUAAACGAUGAAUGCUUGGUGUCUGGGGUUUUAUAGUCCCCGGGUGCCGUCGCUAACGCUUUAAGCAUUCCGCCUGGGGAGUACGGUUGCAAGACUGAAACCCAAAGGAAUUGACGGGGACCCGCACAAGCGGUGGAGCAUGUGGUUUAAUUCGACGCAACGCGAAGAACCUUACCUGGGCUAGAAUGCCUCUGACCGGCGUAGAGAUACGCCUUCCUGGGUAAAACCAGGCAGAGUGCAAGGUGCUGCAUGGCUGUCGUCAGCUCGUGUCGUGAGAUGUUGGGUUAAGUCCCGCAACGAGCGCAACCCUUAUCAAUAGUUGCCAGCGGUUCGGCCGGGCACUCUAUUGAGACUGCCGUUGACAAAACGGAGGAAGGUGGGGAUGACGUCAAGUCCUCAUGGCCUUUAUGUCCAGGGCUACACACGUGCUACAAUGGACGGUACAAACCGCUGCGAACUCGCGAGAGGGAGCUAAUCGGAAAAAACCGUUCUCAGUACGGAUAAGAGUCUGCAACUCGUA
rnacentral:rRNA from 1 species